rnacentral:rRNA from 1 species
GACGAACUUUGGCGGCGUGCUUAACACAUGCAAGUCGAACGGAAAGGCCCUGCUUUUGUGGGGUGCUCGAGUGGCGAACGGGUGAGUAACACGUGAGUAACCUGCCCUUGACUUUGGGAUAACUUCAGGAAACUGGGGCUAAUACCGGAUAGGAGCUCCUGCUGCAUGGUGGGGGUUGGAAAGUUUCGGCGGUUGGGGAUGGACUCGCGGCUUAUCAGCUUGUUGGUGGGGUAGUGGCUUACCAAGGCUUUGACGGGUAGCCGGCCUGAGAGGGUGACCGGCCACAUUGGGACUGAGAUACGGCCCAGACUCCUACGGGAGGCAGCAGUGGGGAAUAUUGCACAAUGGGCGGAAGCCUGAUGCAGCAACGCCGCGUGCGGGAUGACGGCCUUCGGGUUGUAAACCGCUUUCGCCUGUGACGAAGCGUGAGUGACGGUAAUGGGUAAAGAAGCACCGGCUAACUACGUGCCAGCAGCCGCGGUGAUACGUAGGGUGCGAGCGUUGUCCGGAUUUAUUGGGCGUAAAGGGCUCGUAGGUGGUUGAUCGCGUCGGAAGUGUAAUCUUGGGGCUUAACCCUGAGCGUGCUUUCGAUACGGGUUGACUUGAGGAAGGUAGGGGAGAAUGGAAUUCCUGGUGGAGCGGUGGAAUGCGCAGAUAUCAGGAGGAACACCAGUGGCGAAGGCGGUUCUCUGGGCCUUUCCUGACGCUGAGGAGCGAAAGCGUGGGGAGCGAACAGGCUUAGAUACCCUGGUAGUCCACGCUGUAAACGGUGGGUACUAGGUGUGGGGUCCAUUCCACGGGUUCCGUGCCGUAGCUAACGCUUUAAGUACCCCGCCUGGGGAGUACGGCCGCAAGGCUAAAACUCAAAGGAAUUGACGGGGCCCCGCACAAGCGGCGGAGCAUGCGGAUUAAUUCGAUGCAACGCGUAGAACCUUACCUGGGUUUGACAUGGAUCGGGAGUGCUCAGAGAUGGGUGUGCCUCUUUUGGGGUCGGUUCACAGGUGGUGCAUGCCUGUCGUCAGCUCGUGUCGUGAGAUGUUGGGUUAAGUCCCGCAACGGGCGCAACCCUUGUUCACUGUUGCCAGCACGUUAUGGUGGGGACUCAGUGGAGACCGCCGGGGUCAACUCGGAGGAAGGUGGGGAUGACGUCAAGUCCUCAUGCCCCUUAUGUCCAGGGCUUCACGCAUGCUACAAUGGCUGGUACAGAGAGUGGCGAGCCUGUGAGGGUGAGCGAAUCUCGGAAAGCCGGUCUCAGUUCGGAUUGGGGUCUGCAACUCGACCUCAUGAAGUCGGAGUCGCUAGUAAUCGCAGAUCAGCAACGCUGCGGUGAAUACGUUCCCGGGGCU